AUUGAACGCUGGCGGCAGGCCUAACACAUGCAAGUCGAGCGGAUGAGAGGAGCUUGCUUCUGAUUCAGCGGCGGACGGGUGAGUAAUGCCUAGGAAUCUGCCUGGUAGUGGGGGACAACGUUUCGAAAGGAACGCUAAUACCGCAUACGUCCUACGGGAGAAAGCAGGGGACCUUCGGGCCUUGCGCUAUCAGAUGAGCCUAGGUCGGAUUAGCUAGUUGGUGAGGUAAUGGCUCACCAAGGCGACGAUCCGUAACUGGUCUGAGAGGAUGAUCAGUCACACUGGAACUGAGACACGGUCCAGACUCCUACGGGAGGCAGCAGUGGGGAAUAUUGGACAAUGGGCGAAAGCCUGAUCCAGCCAUGCCGCGUGUGUGAAGAAGGUCUUCGGAUUGUAAAGCACUUUAAGUUGGGAGGAAGGGUUGUACGUUAAUACCGUGCAAUUUUGACGUUACCGACAGAAUAAGCACCGGCUAACUCUGUGCCAGCAGCCGCGGUAA
rnacentral:rRNA from 1 species